UACGGAGGGAGCUAGCGUUGUUCGGAAUUACUGGGCGUAAAGCGCACGUAGGCGGCUUUGUAAGUUAGGGGUGAAAGCCUGGAGCUCAACUUCAGAAUUGCCCUUAAGACUGCAUCGCUUGAAUCCAGGAGAGGUGAGUGGAAUUCCGAGUGUAGAGGCGAAAUUCGUAGAUAUUCGGAAGAACACCAGUGGCGAAGGCGGCUCACUGGACUGGUAUUGACGCUGAGGUGCGAAAGCGUGGGGAGCAAACAGG
rnacentral:rRNA from 1 species